rnacentral:rRNA from 1 species
GACGAACGCUGGCGGCGUGCUUAACACAUGCGAGUCGAACGGAAAGGCCCUGCUUUUGUGGGGUGCUCGAGUGGCGAACGGGUGAGUAACACGUGAGUAACCUGCCCUUGACUUUGGGAUAACUUCAGGAAACCGGGGCUAAUACCGGAUAGGAGCUCCUGCUGCAUGGUGGGGGUUGGAAAGUUUCGGCGGUUGGGGAUGGACUCGCGGCUUAUCAGCUUGUUGGUGGGGUAGUGGCUUACCAAGGCUUUGACGGGUAGCCGGCCUGAGAGGGUGACCGGCCACAUUGGGACUGAGAUACGGCCCAGACUCCUACGGGAGGCAGCAGUGGGGAAUAUUGCACAAUGGGCGGAAGCCUGAUGCAGCAACGCCGCGUGCGGGAUGACGGCCUUCGGGUUGUAAACCGCUUUCGCCUGUGACGAAGCGUGAGUGACGGUAAUGGGUAAAGAAGCACCGGCUAACUACGUG